rnacentral:rRNA from 1 species
UACGAAGGGGGCUAGCGUUGCUCGGAAUCACUGGGCUUAAAGGGCGCGUAGGCGGGUGCUCAAGUCCGGGGUGAAAUCCUCCAGCUCAACUGGAGAACUGCCUCGGAUACUGGGUGUCUCGAGGGUGGUAGGGGUAUGCGGAACUAUCGGUGGAGCGGUGAAAUGCGUUGAUAUCGAUAGGAACUCCGGUGGCGAAGGCGGCAUACUGGACCACAUCUGACGCUGAGGCGCGAAAGCCAGGGGAGCAAACGGG